rfam:Triticum aestivum genome assembly, contig: Triticum_aestivum_CS42_TGACv1_scaffold_332946_4BS
AUUUUACUCCCUCCGUUCCAAAAUACUUUACUUUCAUUUGUCCAAAAAUGGAUGUACCUAUAUACUAAAACAUGUCUAGAUACAUCUAUAUUUUGACAAAUAGAAGGCAUGUAUUGUGGAACGGAGGGAGUAGGAG